rnacentral:rRNA from 1 species
GGCGGACGGGUGAGUAACGCGUGGGUAACCUGCCUUGUACUGGGGGACAACAGUUAGAAAUGACUGCUAAUACCGCAUAAGCGCACAGUAUCGCAUGAUACAGUGUGAAAAACUCCGGUGGUACAAGAUGGACCCGCGUCUGAUUAGCUAGUUGGCGGGUAACGGCCCACCAAGGCGACGAUCAGUAGCCGACCUGAGAGGGUGACCGGCCACAUUGGGACUGAGACACGGCCCAA